ACCUACGGGAGGCAGCAGUAGGGAAUCUUCCACAAUGGGCGAAAGCCUGAUGGAGCAACGCCGCGUGGGUGAAGAAGGUCUUCGGAUCGUAAAACCCUGUUGUUAGAGAAGAAAGUGCGUGAGAGUAACUGUUCACGUUUCGACGGUAUCUAACCAGAAGGCCACGGCUAACUACGUGCCAGCAGCCGCGGUAAUACGUAGGUGGCAAGCGUUAUCCGGAUUUAUUGGGUGUAAAGGGAACGCAGGCGGUCUUUUAAGUCUGAUGUGAAAGCCUUCGGCUUAACCGGAGUAGUGCAUUGGAAACU
rnacentral:rRNA from 1 species